GCUCUUCUUUUCUUUUUUUCUGAGUGGAAAGGGAUUAUAUUAAGAAACUAGACCAUUACAAUCUCGGAGAACUAACAGUGCGAGACUGAUUCGCAAGAGUAUGACUAACACGAUUUUGUGAUCUAUCCACUUUCACGAAAGACACAUGCCUACCACAAGCAACCAGCAGCCUAAUCUCGGCGACAAUACUGGCAAAGCAAGAUCUAUCAGCGACACUACUAGAACCAGCUG
rnacentral:lncRNA from 1 species